rnacentral:rRNA from 1 species
AUUGAACGCUGGCGGCAUGCCUUACACAUGCAAGUCGAACGGCAGCACGGGUGCUUGCACCUGGUGGCGAGUGGCGAACGGGUGAGUAAUACAUCGGAACGUACCUUAUCGUGGGGGGUAACGCAGUGAAAGCUGUGCUAAUACCGCAUACGCCCUGAGGGGGAAAGCGGGGGAUCGAAAGACCUCGCGCGAUUAGAGCGGCCGAUGCCUGAUUAGCUUGUUGGUGGGGUAAAAGCCCACCAAGGCGACGAUCAGUAGCUGGUCUGAGAGGACGAUCAGCCACACUGGGACUGAGACACGGCCCAGACUCCUACGGGAGGCAGCAGUGGGGAAUUUUGGACAAUGGGGGCAACCCUGAUCCAGCAAUGCCGCGUGAGUGAAGAAGGCCUUCGGGUUGUAAAGCUCUUUUGUCAGGGAAGAAACACCGGCUCUAACACAGUCCGGGAAUGACGGUACCUGAAGAAUAAGCACCGGCUAACUACGUGCCAGCAGCCGCCGUAA